AGUGAACGCUGGCGGUAGGCCUAACACAUGCGAGUCGAACGGCAGCACAGUAAGAGCUUGCUCUUACGGGUGGCGAGUGGCGGACGGGUGAGGAAUACAUCGGAAUCUACUUUUUCGUGGGGGGUAACGUAGGGAAACUUACGCUAAUACCGCAUACGACCUACGGGUGAAAGCAGGGGAUCUUCGGACCUUGCGCGAUUGAAUGAGCCGAUGUCGGAUUAGCUAGUUGGCGGGGUAAAGGCCCACCAAGGCGACGAUCCGUAGCUGGUCUGAGAGGAUGAUCAGCAAAACUGGAACUGAGACACGGUACAGACUCCUACGGGAGGAAGCAGUGGGGAAUAUUGGACAAUGGGCGAAAGCCUGAUCCAGCCAUACCGCGUGGGUGAAGAAGGCCUUCGGGUUGUAAAGCCCUUUUGUUGGGAAAGAAAAGCAGCAGGUUAAUACCCCGCUGUUCUGACGGUACCCAAAGAAUAAGCACCGGCUAACUUCGUG
rnacentral:rRNA from 1 species